rnacentral:rRNA from 1 species
CCUACGGGUGGCAGCAGUAGGCAAUUUUGCGCAAUGGGCGCAAGCCUGACGCAGCAACGCCGCGUGAACGAGACGCCCUUCGGGGUGUAAAGUUCUGUCAGUGGGGACGAAAAAUGGCGGUACCCACAGAGGAAGCACCGGCUAACUCCGUGCCAGCAGCCGCGAUAAUACGGAGGGUGCAAGCGUUGUCCGGAAUCAUUGGGCGUAAAGAGGUCGUAGGCGGCAUGUAAAGUCAGGUGGUAAAGGCGCAGGCUCAACCUGUGUAUGGCAGUUGAUACUUGCAAGCUGGAGUGCGGUAGAGGUAAAGGGAAUUCCUGGUGUAGCGGUGAAAUGCUUAGAUAUCAGGAGGAACAUCGGUGGCGUAAGCGCUUUACUGGGCCGUAACUGACGCUGAGGAACGAAAGCCAGGGUAGCAAAUGGGAUUAGAUACCCGGGUAGUC